UUUGCUACCAUUUCAAUGGGACUUAGUAAUAGAGUACGUUCUAGAAGAUAAGGUUGGUAAAUAUUAAAUUGUAAAAAUAUUUUUAUUUAUAUACGUCAUUUACGAGAAAAUAAUGUGUGUGCCAAGGUAAAUGUUCAAACACGACAAAAUGUGAGAGUUUUACUCUCGGUAACUUUAUAUGUAAGUAUUGUUUUCAUUUGCACUUGAAUUUCUAUCAAGAAAUGAUCAAUAAAAUAUCCCGUAAGUGUACCGUAAAGCAGGUAUUGAAGAAUUAUUACGUUUCGUUCAUGUUUGCGAUUGUAUACGCGUUUCGUUACUAACGUCUAUCAAGACUGUAUUAAAUGUAUAUAUAGCGCGAUGCGUGAUUCCGUCCUAGAAAUUAACGUUGGUGUGAAAAAGACUAACUCGAUCCUAUCCACUGA